rnacentral:lncRNA from 1 species
AUCUAUCUUGAACCCUCGUAAUCACAACGACACCAAGUAUGGCAAUACAUCUAGACUCUCUCCACCAGUACUGGAGAGGCUAGACUCCUCUCGCCACUACUGGUAUUGAAGCAAUUUCAAACAUCCUCCAUCCUGAGAUACUAAGAAAUCUGAAUGAUAAAGAUGUGCUCAAGAAUCCCCUGGAGCUCAACUCCUAGGAAGAAAUCAAGUCAGACAGGAUCCACCAAGUCA